rnacentral:rRNA from 1 species
CCUACGGGUGGCAGCAGUAGGGAAUAUUCCUCAAUGGGGGAAACCCUGAUGCAGCAACGCCGCGUGGAUGAUGAAGGUUUUCGGAUUGUAAACUCCUUUUGUUAGAGAAGAAAAUGCGGGUGUCUAACGAAUCAGCACUGGAUAACUCCGUGCCAGCAGCCGCGGUAAUACGGAGGGCGCACGCGUUAGGCGGAAUCACUGUGCGUAAAGGGCACGGAGGCGGGAUUGCAAGUCAGAUGUGAAAGCCUAGGGCUUAACCAGAGAAGUGCAUUUGAAACUGUUAUGCUUGAGUGUGGGAGAGGUGAGUGGAAUUCUAGGUGUAGCGGUGAAAUGCGUAGAGAUAAAGAGGAAUACUCGUUGCGAAGGCGACCUUCUAGAACAUAACUGACGCUGAUGUGCGAAAGCGUGGGGAGCAAACAGGAUUAGAUACCCCAGUAGUC